CAGUCGCCACGGGAACACGUAGGGUGCGAGCGUUAAUCGGAAUUACUGGGCGUAAAGCGUGCGCAGGCGGUUCUGUAAGACAGGCGCGAAAUCCCCGGGCUCAACCUGGGAAUGGCGCUUGUGACUGCGAAGCUAGAGUGCGGCAGAGGGGGAUGGAAUUCCGCGUGUAGCAGUGAAAUGCGUAGAUAUGCGGAGGGACACCGAUGGCGAAGGCAAUCCCCUGGGCCUGCACUGACGCUCAUGCACGAAAGCGUGGGGAGCAAACAGGAUUAGAUACCCCUGUAGUCCCUGUCUCUUAUAC
rnacentral:rRNA from 1 species